rnacentral:rRNA from 1 species
UAACCUACCCUGUACACACGGAUAACAUACCGAAAGGUAUGCUAAUACGGGAUAAUAUAUUUGAGAGGCAUCUCUUAAAUAUCAAAGGUGAGCCAGUACAGGAUGGACCCGCGUCUGAUUAGUUAGUUGGUAAGGUAACGGCUUACCAAGGCGACGAUCAGUAGCCGACCUGAGAGGGUGAUCGGCCACAUUGGAACUGAGACACGGUCCAAACUCCUACGGGAGGCAGCAGUGGGGAAUAUUGCACAAUGGGCGAAAGCCUGAUGCAGCAACGCCGCGUGAGUGAUGAAGGCCUUCGGGUCGUAAAACUCUGUCCUCAAGGAAGAUAAUGACGGUACUUGAGGAGGAAGCCCCGGCUAACUACGUGCCAGCAGCCGCGGUAAUACGUAGGGGGCUAGCGUUAUCCGGAUUUACUGGGCGUAAAGGGUGCGUAGGCGGUCUUUCAAGUCAGGAGUGAAAGGCUACGGCUCAAUCGUAGUAAGCUCUUGAAACUGGGAGACUUGAGUGCAGGAGAGGAGAGUGGAAUUCCUAGUGUAGCGGUGAAAUGCGUAGAUAUUAGGAGGAACACCAGUUGCGAAGGCGGCUCUCUGGACUG